rnacentral:tRNA from 1 species
GCCCUAGUAGCUUAGCCACUAAAGCG